UCUUUUCUUAGCCUCUCGUGAUGAUCCCGAUUCUGUGCUGAGUGGCUUCCUUGAUGAGCUUACAGUGAGCCCUCUAAGAAGUUGACUGAAGAGGCUGGCAGGUU
rnacentral:snoRNA from 1 species